UUUGGUAGGAUUUUAACCCUCACAUUGUUCUAGUAAAAUUUCUUCAGCUCUUCAUGUAACAUCUACAAAAUUCUCCAAUUUCAUGGUGACUGGAUUUACUGAGCUUAGUUGUCUCUUCAGCCUGCUUCAGUGCUUCAUCACAACUUGAAAGUAGCCUGGGCGUCACUUGAUUUUGGUUUAGUUCUUGCUUCCACUUACAAGGAUUGGUUUUUCAUUUUUAUUGUGAAUCUGGUACUGAUUCCUGAUUUCACAGCAUGUUUGGAUACCUAAAAGUGUUGUAACACCCAGAAGAGUAAGCACAGAAUAUUUACACUAAAAAUGAACAGUGUGGAACUGUGACAGAUGGGCAUUAAUCUGUCAUCAAUUACAUCGGACACAGAACAGAACAAAGUUGGGAAGCUGUAAGAAAAUAUGAACCCUAUCUUUUUUAAAGGAAAAAUGAACUGGACACAAACUGAAACCUCUAAUCAGAAUAAGUAGGCUGUAAAUCAUGAUUUUUUUUUAAAGUGAAGGUCUUAAUGCACUUCUUGUGGAAGUCAGCUCUAAAAAAAAGACUUUAUCCUCGCUCAGAGUCCUGUGACAGGAGAAAAAAUCCAGGAUCAAAAAUUCCCCAUGUAACUGUGAGACUCUUGGUAGCAUUUUCAGAGAACUUUUUUGUAACUGCAUUUGAGGGGUGAGAUAAUGGAGUCAGAAAAAUUUCAUACUAAAGAGCAUGACUGGACUUACCAAAAGAAUGUGAGGAGCAGUUAACCAACAGCAUCUGUACCAGUGGUUAUGGUAGUGCUGGGGUGUCUUUGGGGCCAAAACACCAAACAUAUAUUGAGAAGUUGGCCCAUAAGGGACUCUCUGUUCUUGCAGAUUUUCUCUCACAGGAUUAAUGUUUGCACUUGGUGAGUUGGGUGCAACCAUAGUUUACUUUCUUUUACUUUCCUUUU